UGAUCUUGAAGCUUAUAAGCACCAUAAAAUCUAAGCCGUCCUCCAUUGUCAGUUUGCUCCUUCGGUCUUCAUAUUGUGCUCCUAACUGUCACAACAAUUCACUUUUGGUGAAGGAGUGGUUGCCUAUUUUACACUUGCCAUACCAUUGUUUGCCUUGGUUAAAACUCUGCCUUUUUAGCCCGUCGCUACUAAAAUCUCCUUAUCCAGACGAGAUUACCUAUUCCUACACUACCUGCAUAACACUUAACACGUUUUAUUAAUUAAGAUAAUCUGUGAAUGAAACUUAAAUGUUUGCUAUUAAAUCUUACCAAUUAUAAAGUCUCGAGACAAACUUACCAUUCUCAGCACCCUAUGCAAGUACACAUGAGGUUGCACGAUAAAAUUUAUACCGUUGUAAAUUCUUGCGCAUAUAGUAUUAACAUUGUUCAAAAACUCC
rnacentral:lncRNA from 1 species